rnacentral:rRNA from 1 species
UGGCUCAGAACGAACGCUGGCGGCGUGCUUAACACAUGCAAGUCGAACGAUGAUCAGGAGCUUGCUCCUGUGAUUAGUGGCGAACGGGUGAGUAACACGUGAGUAACCUGCCCCUGACUCUGGGAUAAGCGUUGGAAACGACGUCUAAUACUGGAUACGACUGCCGGCCGCAUGGUCUGGUGGUGGAAAGAUUUUUUGGUUGGGGAUGGACUCGCGGCCUAUCAGCUUGUUGGUGAGGUAAUGGCUCACCAAGGCGACGACGGGUAGCCGGCCUGAGAGGGUGACCGGCCACACUGGGACUGAGACA